rnacentral:misc_RNA from 1 species
UUGUGGAGGAGGACGCCGAAGGUGGGGCUAAUGACUGGGGUGAAGUCGUAACAAGGUAGCCGUACCGGAAGGUGCGGCUGGAUCACCUCCUAACAGGGAGACAACAAAAUGUUUAAUAUUAAUUUUGUCACCUUAGGUCGAUCGGUAUCUCACAUUCUUAAUUUAUUAAAGAUUUUAUUUCCUAAGUUUUUUCUAGGUCACACCCAUUACUUUUUCCUGGGCCAUUAGCUCAGGUGGUUAGAGCGCACCCCUGAUAAGGGUGAGGUCCCUGGUUCAAGUCCAGGAUGGCCCAUAUCUCUAUGUUGGGGGUAUAGCUCAGUUGGUAGAGCGCCUGCUUUGCAAGCAGGAUGUCAGCGGUUCGAGUCCGCUUACCUCCACUGAUCACCACCUCUUCCAUAAUUAUGGUGAAGGGAAUAGUCUUGAGGUGUGAUCAAAUUCUGAACGAAUCUAGCUUCCUAAUCAAUUGGAUUAAGAUGCUGGACUCAUUGAAUAAAUUUCAUUGUUUUCAGAGAACCUUGACAACUGCAUAGAUUUUUUUAAAGACAAUAAGCAUCUUUAAUGAUGCAGAUUUAUUAUUUGUGCAAAUGCAUUAAUAACAAUUCUAUUAAGCUGAUGCUUCAAUUUUGAAGUUAUUGGUCAAGCUACAA